rnacentral:lncRNA from 1 species
CAAGGCAAAACCACUCAGAUUGAGCAGUGAGGUACAGGGACGUCUGGUGACCCACCAGAGGAAUGGCACCCACUCAUAAUGAGCAGUGGGGUACAGGGACGUCUAGUGACCCACCAGAGGAAUGACACUCACUCAGAAUGAGCAGUGGGGUACAGGGAUGUCUAGUGACCCACCAGAGGAAUGACACCCACUCAGAAUUAGCAGUGGGGUACAGGGACGUCUAGUGACCCACCAGAGGAAUGGCACCCACUCAUAAUGAGCAGUGGGGUACAGGGAUGUCUAGUGACCCACCAGAGGAAUGACACCCACUCAGAAUUAGCAGUGGGGUAUAGGGACGUCUAGUGACCCACCAGAGGAAUGACACUCACUCAUAAUGAGCAGUGAGGUACAGGGACGUCUAGUGACCCACCAGAGGAAUGACACUCACUCAUAAUGAGCAGUGGGGUACAGGGACAUCUAGUGACCCACCAGAGGAAUGACACUCACUCAUAAUGAGCAGUGAGGUACAGGGACGUCUAGUGACCCACCAGAGGAAUGACACUCACUCAUAAUGAGCAGUGAGGUACAGGGACGUCUAGUGACCCACCAGAGGAAUGACACUCACUCAUAAUGAGCAGUGAGGUACAGGGACGUCUAGUGACCCACCAGAGGAAUGACACUCACUCAGAAUGAGCAGUGGGGUACAGGGACGUCUAGUGACCCACCAGAGGAAUGACACUCACUCAGAAUGAGCAGUGGGGUACAGGGACGUCUAGUGACCCACCAGAGGAAUGA